UACGUAGGGGGCGAGCGUUGCCCGGAAUCAUUGGGCGUAAAGGGCGCGUAGGCGGCCACCGCAAGUCAGUUGUGAAAUCUCUGGGCUUAACCCAGAACGGUCAGCUGAUACUGCGGGGCUAGAGUGCAGAAGGGGCAACUGGAAUUCUCGGUGUAGCGGUGAAAUGCGUAGAUAUCGAGAGGAACACCUGCGGCGAAGGCGGGUUGCUGGGCUGACACUGACGCUGACAGCGCGAAAGCUAGGGGAGCGAACGGG
rnacentral:rRNA from 1 species